CUGAACCCUAAUGGGGUAAGCGAUGGACAGUAGUUUAAUAUUACUACACCGCCGAGCUUUUGUUUUAAGGCAAAGGGGGGACACAGUAAGGUAGGUUGAGCAUACCUAUUGGACAUGGUGUGUUUCCAACUCAAGGUGCAUCAGGGCAGGCAAAUCCACCCUGGUAUUAAGCUGAGGGGAGGGAGAAUUUGAGGGGCAACCUGAGAAAACUCGACUGAGCCUACGCUGUCGAGAAAAGCCUCGUUGCUAAAAAGCUGGGCGUCUGUACCGCAAACCGCCACUGGUAGGUGGGGAUAAGAGUCCCAAGGUGUUCGAGAGAACCCUCGUUAAGGAACUCGGCAAUCUAACCCCGUAACUUCGGGAGAAGGGGUCCCCGAUUAUGUCGGGGGGCACAAAAUUGGCCCAGGCGACUGUUUAACAAAAACACAGGUCUCUGCUAAAGCGAAAAAGCUGAAAUAUAGAGGCUGAUACCUGCCCGGUGCCAGAAGGUUAAGGAGAGAGGUUAGGAUGACAACAUUCAAAGCCUUGAACCGAAGCCCUGGUGAACGGCGGCCGUAACUAUAACGGUCCUAAGGUAGCGAAGUCCCUUGUCGGGUAAGUUCCGACCUGCACGAAAGGUGUAACGCCCUGGGCGCUGUCUCAACGAGGGACUCGGUGAAAUUGAAUUGGGGGUGAAGAUGCCCUCGACCCGCAACAGGACAAAAAGACCCUAGCAGCUUUACUAUAGCUUGGCAUUGGGCUUAGGCUGAGCAUGUGUAGGAUAGGUGGGAGGCUGGGAAGCUGGGGCGUCAGCUUCAGCAGAGCCAACGGUGAAAUACCACUCUUGCUUGGUUUUGGUUCUAACCCACCUUCGGGUGGGGACACUGUCUGGUGGGUAGUUUAACUGGGGCGGUUGCCUCCUAAAAUGUAACGGAGGCGUCCAAAGGUUCCCUCAGCACGAAUGGAAACCGUGUGUAGAGUGCAUUGGCAUAAGGGAGCUUGACUGCGAGACCUACAAGUCGAGCAGGGACGAAAGUCGGGCAAAGUGAUCCUACGGCACUGUAUGGAAAGGCCGUGGCUUAUCGGAUAAAAGCUACGCUAGGGAAAACAGGCUUAUCUUGCCCAAGAGUUCACAUCGACGGCAAGGUUUGGCACCUCGAUGUCGGCUCGCCGCAUCCUGGGGCUGGAGAAGGUCCCAAGGGUUGGACUGUUCGCCCAUUAAAGCGGCACGCGAGCUGGGUUCAGACCGUCGUGAGACAGGUCGGUCUCUAUCCGUUGUGGGCGCCGGAGAUUUGAGGGGAGCUCUCCUUAGUACGAGAGGAUUAGGAGGGACAGACCUCUGGUGUGCCAGUUGUUCCGCCCGGAGCAGCGCUGGGUAGCUAUGUCUGGUUGGGAUAAGCGCUGAAAGCAUAUAAGCGCGAAGCCCACCCCAAGAUGAGAUCUCCCACCGGUUUAACCGGGUAAAGCCGCAAGUAGACUACUUGCUUGAUAGGCGGCGUGUGUAAGCGGAGUAAUCCGUUUAGCUAAGCCGUACUAAUGGCUGAGGCCUUGACUUA
rnacentral:rRNA from 1 species